UACGUAGGGUGCAAGCGUUGUCCGGAAUUAUUGGGCGUAAAGAGCUCGUAGGCGGUUUGUCGCGUCUGCCGUGAAAGUCCGGGGCUCAACUCCGGAUCUGCGGUGGGUACGGGCAGACUAGAGUGAUGUAGGGGAGACUGGAAUUCCUGGUGUAGCGGUGAAAUGCGCAGAUAUCAGGAGGAACACCGAUGGCGAAGGCAGGUCUCUGGGCAUUAACUGACGCUGAUGAGCGAAAGCCAGGGGAGCAAACGGG
rnacentral:rRNA from 1 species